rnacentral:rRNA from 1 species
AUUGAACGCUGGCGGCAGGCCUAACACAUGCAAGUCGAGCGGUAACACAAGGGAGCUUGCUCCUGAGGUGACGAGCGGCGGACGGGUGAGUAAUGCCUAGGGAUCUGCCCAGUCGAGGGGGAUAACAGUUGGGAACGACUGCUAAUACCGCAUACGCCCUACGGGGGAAAGGAGGGGACCUUCGGGCCUUCCGCGAUUGGAUGAACCUAGGUGGGAUUAGCUAGUUGGUGAGGUAAUGGCUCACCAAGGCGACGAUCCCUAGCUGUUCUGAGAGGAUGAUCAGCCACACUGGGACUGAGACACGGCCCAGACUCCUACGGGAGGCAGCAGUGGGGGAUAUUGCACAAUGGGGGAAACCCUGAUGCAGCCAUGCCGCGUGUGUGAAGAAGGCCUUCGGGUUGUAAAGCACUUUCAGUAGGGAGGAAAGGUGGUAGUUUAAUAAACUAUUACUGUGACGUUACCUACAGAAGAAGGACCGGCUACCUCCGUGCCAGCAGCCGCGGUAAUACGGAGGGUCCGAGCGUUAAUCGGAAUUACUGGGCGUAAAGCGUGCGCAGGCGGUUUGUUAAGCCAGAUGUGAAAUCCCCGGGCUCAACCUGGGAAUUGCAUUUGGAACUGGCGAACUAGAGUCUUGUAGAGGGGGGUAGAAUUCCAGGUGUAGCGGUGAAAUGCGUAGAUAUCUGGAGGAAUACCGGUGGCGAAGGCGGCCCCCUGGACAAAGACUGACGCUCAUGCACGAAAGCGUGGGGAGCAAACAGGGUUAGAUACCCUGGUAGUCCACGCCGUAAACGAUGUCUACUCGGAGUUUGGUGGCUUAGUCACUGGGCUCCCAAGCUAACGCAUUAAGUAGACCGCCUGGGGAGUACGGCCGCAAGGUUAAAACUCAAA